GGGCGGGUGGUGGAACUGGCAGACACGUUAGCCUUAGGAGCUAAUGCUCGCGAGAGCUUGAGGGUUCAAGUCCCUCCCCGCCCA
rnacentral:tRNA from 3 species